rnacentral:rRNA from 1 species
AGCCACAGCUAUAUCACCCUACAGCCCAAGACCGGUUACUCACUGAAGCUAAGCAGGGCUGAGCCUGGUCAGUACCUGGAUGGGAGACCACUAGGGAACACUAAGUUCCUGUUGGAA